UGAGCAAUCUGCCCUUCUCAUCGGAAUAAGCGUUGAAAACGACGUCUAAUGCCGAAUACGACCUCCUUUCGCAUGAUCGGAGGUGGAAAGCUCCGGCGGAGAAGGAUGAGCUCGCGGCCUAUCAGCUAGUUGGUGUGGGUAAUGGCCCACCAAGGCGACGACAGGUAGCCGGCCUGAGAGGGUGACCGGCCUCACUGGGACUGAGACACUCGCCCAGACCUGUACGGGA
rnacentral:rRNA from 1 species